GUUUGCUUUGGCAGUACAUUUACUAAAAUUGGAACGAUACAGAGAAGAUUAGCAUGGCCUCUGAGCAAAGAUGACGCGCAAAUCCAUGAAGCAUUCCAUAUCUUU